rnacentral:misc_RNA from 1 species
GAAAUGCGAUAAGUAAUGUGAAUUGCAGAAUUCAGUGAAUCAUCGAAUCUUUGAACGCAUCUUGCGCUCCUUGGUAUUCCUUGGAGCAUGCCUGUUUGAGUAUCAUGAAAUCUUCAAAGUAAAUCUUUUGUUAACUCAAUUGGUUUCUACUUUGGUAUUGGAGGUCUUUGCAGCUUCACACCUGCUCCUCUUUGUUCAUUAGCUGGAUCUCAGUGUUAUGCUUGGUUCCACUCGGCGUGAUAAGUUAUCUAUCACUGAGGACACUGUAAAAGGUGGCCAAGGUAAAUGCAGAUGAACCGCUUCUAAUAGUCCAUUGACUUGGACAAUACUUUUAUGAUCUGAUCUCAAAUCAGGUAGGACUACCCGCUGAACUUAAGC